rnacentral:rRNA from 1 species
GACGAACGCUGGCGGCGUGCUUAACACAUGCAAGUCGAGCGGUAAGGCCCUUUCGGGGGUACGACGAGCGGCGAACGGGUGAGUAACACGUGGGUGACCUGCCCUCAGCUCUGGGAUAAGCCUGGGAAACCGGGUCUAAUACCGGAUAUGACUCCAUGACGCAUGUUGUGGGGUGGAAAGCCUUGUGCGGCUGAGGAUGGGCCCGCGGCCUAUCAGCUUGUUGGUGGGGUGAUGGCCUACCAAGGCGACGACGGGUAGCCGGCCUGAGAGGGCGACCGGCCACACUGGGACUGAGACACGGCCCAGACUCCUACGGGAGGCAGCAGGUGGGGAAUCUUGCGCAAUGGGCGAAAGCCUGACGCAGCGACGCCGCGUGAGGGAUGAC